CCUACGGGAGGCAGCAGUGAGGAAUAUUGGUCAAUGGACGAGAGUCUGAACCAUCCAAGUAGCGUGAAGGAUGACUGCCCUAUGGGUUGUAAACUUCUUUUAUAUGGGACUAAAAUGUUCCACGUGUGGGAUUUUGUAUGUACCAUAUGAAUAAGGAUCGGCUAACUCCGUGCCAGCAGCCGCGGUAAUACGGAGGAUCCGAGCGUUAUCCGGAUUUAUUGGGUUUCAAGGGAGCGUAGGUGGAUUGUUAAGUCAGUUGUGAAAGUUUGCGGCUCAACCGUAAAAUUGCAGUUGAAACUGGCAGUCUUGAGUACAGUAGAGGUGGGCGGAAUUCGUGGUGUAGCGGUGAAAUGCUUAGAUAUCACGAAGAACUCCGAUUGCGAAGGCAGUUCACUGGACUGCAACUGACACUGAGGCUCGAAAGUGUGGGUAUCAAACAGGAUUAGAUACCCCAGUAGUC
rnacentral:rRNA from 1 species